rnacentral:misc_RNA from 1 species
CCGGGGGAAUGUAAUUUUCACUUUUAUUAUUUUAUGAAAUUCUUUUCACUUGCAUAACCAUCACACUAUUACAUGGAGAUGACAGGAUGCUUUGAAGCAAUAUGAUUUAGCGUCCUCAGUGCUUUACUAUUUGCAUUUCUUUGCCCCAGAAGAUGGUUUAGACUCUUAUGCGACACUGGCUUUUGCUAAUAAAAAAAAAAAAAAUUGGAAUCGAUUAUUUUAAGAAGCUGAUUCU